GGGGAAUAUUGCACAAUGGAGGAAACUCUGAUGCAGCGACGCCGCGUGAACGAUGAAGUAUUUCGGUAUGUAAAGUUCUAUCAGCAGGGAAGAUAAUGACAGUACCUGACUAAGAAGCCCCGGCUAACUACGUGCCAGCAGCCGCGGUAAUACGUAGGGGCAAGCGUUAUCCGGAUUUACUGGGUGUAAAGGGAGCGUAGACGGAACGGCAAGUUUGAAGUGAAAUACCUGGGCUUAACCCGGGAACUGCUUUGAAAACUGUCGAUCUAGAGUGUCGGAGAGGUAAGUGGAAUUCCUGGUGUAGUAGUGAAAUGCGUAGAUAUCAGGAAGAACACCGGAGGCGAAGGCGGCUUUCUGGACUGUAACUGACACUGAGGCUCGAAAGCGUGGGGAGCGAACAGGAUUAGAUACCCUGGUAGU
rnacentral:rRNA from 1 species